CGUGUGGUGCCCGGCUUUGGAUCGGGAGAGCGACACGGCCUUAGCUAUGAGGU
rfam:Photobacterium halotolerans strain S2753 contig0032, whole genome shotgun sequence.